rnacentral:lncRNA from 1 species
UAGGAGAAAGCAGUUCCAUAAUAAUGAACAUUCCAUUGUACUGAUUGUUGAAUUAUGAAAUUAAUAUAGAAGCAAGACAUUUUCAUUGUAAUUUUGCAUUCUGUUGCCAUAUAGAUUCCAAAAUCAUCCCCUUCUUAUAUAAGAGGCAUAGAAGACACACACAGAGAAAUGCACUCCUAGUCUUUUUGUGACAGAACUGGCAUGAUGAACCAAAAAAAAAUGCGCUGUUGCAGAUGUUGGUGUCAUUUGAAGACCUGGCUGUGGACAUCACUCAGGAGGAGUGACAGUACCUGGACAGUUCUCAGAGGACCCUGUCAAAGAUAUGAUGAUGGAGACCUACAAUAGCCUGUUGUUUUUGGGUGAGUGCUAUUCCCCUCUCAUGCCGAAGUGAAACAGUUACUUCCCAUGUGGCAAGCAAAUUAAUUGUUUAAAAGAUUACAUGGUGGAUAAGCAUAGAAUUUGAGGCCAAGAAACAUGAGGAAAGGAUUGAAAUCAACAAUUUUGUUUCACAGCCCCUGUGAACAAGCUGUUGUCUUUCAAAACUCUAACAUAAUGAUAUGAUGACACCCAGCAUUAUUUCCCUUUAACAGGGUACUGCAAAAGCAAACCUGAGGUGAUCUUCAAGUUGGAACAGGGGACAGAGCCAUGGACAGUGACAAAACCCCUAAAUUGGAGCCUGUCAGCCCACAGAAGGGAUGACCUAUUGGGAACCAACUGGAAAAGUCAACAAAUAAAUUUGAGGCAAGUUGUAAUCACAAACAACAACUUAACACACAAGAGAGUUAAAAAGCAACACUUAGCUGGUGCCGUGGCUCAACAGGCUAAUCCUCCGCCUAGCAGCACCGGCACACCAGGUUCUAGUCCCAGUCAGGGUGCCGGAUUCUGUCCCAGUUGCCCCUCUUCCAGGCCAGCUCUGCCAUGUCUGGGGAGUGCAGUGGAGGAUGGCCCAAGUGCUUGGGCCCUGCACCCCAUGGGAGACCAGGAGAAGCACCUGGCUCCUGCCUUCAGACCAGCGUGGUGCACCAGCUGCAGCGGCCAUUGGAGGGUGAACCAAUGGCAAAGGAAGACCUUUCUCUCUCUCUCUCUGACUGUCCACUCUGCCUGUUAAAAAAAAAAGCAACACUUAAUUUAAGCUCAGGCCAUAUUUUUACUGAAAGCUGAGACAUAUAAUUUAUUUCACAAUUUGCUUCUCCCUAGGAGGCCUGAUGAGAUGUGAGCUGCAGAGAAAUCUGAUGGCACUAAUGUACCUGGCAACUCAAGUGAACGUUGGGAGCCCAUCAGGCAGCCUCACAAGAUUCAGCCUUUUCAGCAGGUGUUUGAACACAGUGUAAAAGGCAAAGGGUUCAACAGGAAAAGGGUGUUCU